rnacentral:rRNA from 1 species
GCUCAGGACGAACGCUGGCGGCGUGCCUAAUACAUGCAAGUCGAGCGAACCGACGGGAGCUUGCUCCCUUAGGUUAGCGGCGGACGGGUGAGUAACACGUGGGUAACCUGCCUGUAAGACUGGGAUAACUCCGGGAAACCGGGGCUAAUACCGGAUGCUUGAUUGAACCGCAUGGUUCAAUUAUAAAAGGUGGCUUUUAGCUACCACUUACAGAUGGACCCGCGGCGCAUUAGCUAGUUGGUGAGGUAACGGCUCACCAAGGCGACGAUGCGUAGCCGACCUGAGAGGGUGAUCGGCCACACUGGGACUGAGACACGGCCCAGACUCCUACGGGAGGCAGCAGUAGGGAAUCUUCCGCAAUGGACGAAAGUCUGACGGAGCAACGCCGCGUGAGUGAUGAAGGUUUUCGGAUCGUAAAACUCUGUUGUUAGGGAAGAACAAGUACCGUUCGAACAGGGCGGUACCUUGACGGUACCUAACCAGAAAGCCACGGCUAACUACGUGCCAGCAGCCGCGGUAAUACGUAGGUGGCAAGCGUUGUCCGGAAUUAUUGGGCGUAAAGCGCGCGCAGGCGGUUUCUUAAGUCUGAUGUGAAAGCCCCCGGCUCAACCGGGGAGGGUCAUUGGAAACUGGGGAACUUGAGUGCAGAAGAGGAGAGUGGAAUUCCACGUGUAGCGGUGAAAUGCGUAGAGAUGUGGAGGAACACCAGUGGCGAAGGCGACUCUCUGGUCUGUAACUGACGCUGAGGCGCGAAAGCGUGGGGAGCGAACAGGAUUAGAUACCCUGGUAGUCCACGCCGUAAACGAUGAGUGCUAAGUGUUAGAGGGUUUCCGCCCUUUAGUGCUGCAGCAAACGCAUUAAGCACUCCGCCUGGGGAGUACGGUCGCAAGACUGAAACUCAAAGGAAUUGACGGGGGCCCGCACAAGCGGUGGAGCAUGUGGUUUAAUUCGAAGCAACGCGAAGAACCUUACCAGGUCUUGACAUCCUCUGACACCCCUAGAGAUAGGGCUUCCCCUUCGGGGGCAGAGUGACAGGUGGUGCAUGGUUGUCGUCAGCUCGUGUCGUGAGAUGUUGGGUUAAGUCCCGCAACGGAGCGC